CGCUGGCGGCGUGCUUAACACAUGCAAGUCGAACGAGGCUUAGGGAAGAGCUUGCUCGGAACUAAGCCGAGUGGCGGACGGGUGAGUAACGCGUGAAUAAUCUGUCUCAUACAGGGGGAUAACGCAUCGAAAGAUGUGCUAAUACCGCGUAGGACCACGACGGGGCAUCCGUUGAGGUGAAAGGAGCAAUCCAGUAUGAGGUGAGUUCGCGUCUGAUUAGAUAGUUGGUGAGGUAACGGCCCACCAAGUCAACGAUCAGUAGCCGACCUGAGAGGGUGAUCGGCCACAUUGGGACUGAGACACGGCCCAGACUCCUACGGGAGGCAGCAGUGGGGAAUAUUGGGCAAUGGGCGAAAGACCCUGACCCAGCAACGCCGCGUGAAGGAAGAAGGUUUUCGGAUCGUAAACUUCUGUCCUAUAUGAAGAGUAGUAGACGGUAGUAUAGGAGGAAGCCCGGCUAACUACGUGCCAGCAGCCGC
rnacentral:rRNA from 1 species